GGACUACUGGGGUAUCUAAUCCUGUUUGCUCCCCUAGCUUUCGUCAUUCAGCGUCAGUUGUGGUCCAGCGCGCCGCUUUCGCCACGGGUGUUCCUGCAGAUAUCUACGCAUUUCACCGCUACACCUGCAAUUCCACGCGCCUCUCCCACACUCAAGCACAGCAGUUUCGGAAGCAGCCUAUGAGUUGAGCCCAUAGAUUUCACUCCCGACUUGCCACACCGCCUACUGACCCUUUACACCCAGUAAUUCCGAACAACGCUGGCCCCCUACGUCUUACCGCGGCUGCUGGCAC
rnacentral:rRNA from 1 species